rnacentral:rRNA from 1 species
AGAUUGAACGCUGGCGGCGUGCCUAACACAUGCAAGUCGAGCGGUAACGCGGGAGCAAUCCUGGCGACGAGCGGCGAACGGGUGAGUAAUACUUCGGAAUCUACCCACGGGUGGGGAAUAACCAGCCGAAAGGUUUGGCUAAUACCGCUAUACGCCCUACGGGGGAAAGCGGGGGAUCGAAAGACCUCGCGCCGGUGGAUGAGCCGAAGUCGGAUUAGCUAGUUGGUAGGGUAACGGCCUA